rnacentral:lncRNA from 1 species
CCACACCUGCUCCUAGGUUUACUGUUUCAUUGUCUUCAUUAGCAUACAUUUACUGCUCCAGGAGAUGCUCGACUGGCAGGGCCCCAGGCAGUAACUUGAUGCUUCAAACAAUUCUUCAGUCUUCAGUAGGAGCUUCAACACACAAUGACUGCUCAAAGACUCUCCUAAAUCCUCCUCUCAAACCCGAGACCCUGGACGGCCCGUCGCUCAGGGCCGGGUGCCACCGACUGGCACGGCAUCCGCUCCGCAGCAUCCUCAUGCUGAUCAGGUAUGGAAAAACUCCUUUGAAAUCGUCUAAAAUCUUCCUGAGGUUUAACAAAGGGUUUUACAACCACUCUCUAGAUUCGAUCUUUGCCCUCAAGCCGUUUCUCUUUGGAAAUUGUUUUCUGGCUGCGAUUGGAAAGGAGAAUCAGUUUUACUUUUGAAUCUAGCAAUUCCUGGCUCCUUUUUACUUUUCCUUCAAGUCUGCUGAAAAACUUAAUAGUUUGGCCUUCAAUUCAUUUUUCUUUCCUGGUAUUUUAUUAUUUGCAGAAUACCAGCGCUUCUGAUAUUCUGUCUGGAAAUCUCCUUAGACUUGCCACUCUACUGUAGCCAAGCAGGACCCUCCGGGGCCUCCCUGGGGCGGGCCCUUGCCCCUCCCGCUGCUUUGGCUCCUCUCUGCAGGACCCAGAUGACAUUGGCUGAGUUGUUCCACACACGUGAAGAAUCUCCUCCACCAGGUGGAAGGUGUUAGCUGCCUGAUAACCACGGGUACAGAACCCCGCUCCUCCCAGAGCCUAAGGACUAAUGACAUCAGUUCCUGUGACAGGGUCCUGUGGCCUCCUCAUCAGCUAAGAUGAUGGUGCACAAGCUCCUCACUUACCCUGGGACACCCCCGCCCCAAAUCUGGCUUUUAAAAAUGCUUCACAAUUUUGUUCAGGGAGUUCGGGCUCUUUGAGGGCCUGGCCUGCGGUGACCCUGUCUCUGCGCCUAACUCCGACAUUUGGGUUUGCUCGGCCUCACUCUGAUGGGCACACGAACGUGGGCUCCCGUUAGUGGCAUGUUUUCUAUUUUCCACAUUGUCCCAAGGUAAAGUUUUAUUAACUGUCCUGCCCAUACUGCAUUUGGAUGUCCUUUUGUCCAGCAUUCAAUAUCAUUUUCCUCACCAUCUAGUUAAAAAAAAAAAAUAGAAAAAAACUUGAGCUGAGUAAAUCUGAAGUCCUAACUGUUAUUUUUCAUUCUUUCAUGAAGGGGGCAGCAUCCCAAGCAGCAACUAGAAGGGCACUCCAGCGGUUAUUCAAAAGAAAAGUUUUCGUAGGAAGCAGGGUGGGGCAAGGGAGCUAUCAGCAAAAGAAAAGAGUUAUUUUUAGGCCAGGAGAUCUUUUUUUGGAGGAAGGGACUAGCCCGGGUCUUUCCUGCCCCAUUGUCUCUUCUUCCUCCGCAGGGGUGAGCAGGAGGGGGCCCACUGGGCAGAUGACCUCGGCGAACUUGAAGAAAAGUGCCCAGGGCGAGAGCUGUGAGGUUUGCCAUUUAGGGUCUCACUGGGGACCAUAGCCUGGGAGACAGCCACUCAGAAACUCUGAGUCUCCAAACAGGUGGGGGAGAAGCCAGUGUGUGUAGGAAUUUGGGACUCGGAGAACAUGUGGUCAGGCCUACAUCUUGUAAACGGUUGCUGCUCUUACUAAAAAAAUGCAUCCUGAGAGUUGACAGUUAAGUUUUGUUUGGGGUGACAUUGGGCCUUAAGCCUGGGAGACAGCAUCUCAGGUAGCCCCGAGAAACUGCUCCAAGGAGGCGAGGGGAGAAGCAAGGAUACAUGAGUUUUGGCAACGAAGGGGAAGUAGUAGGAACAAAAGAUUUGCAGAUGACCCCGUGUACAGAAGAUGUGCAGAAAACCGUCUCUGCGGGAAGACGGAAAGGUCCGGGCUCCCUGGAGUCUCCCCUUUGGUAUGCUUUCUGCGUUCCCUCUUGGGAGUGGCCAUCCUCACGGGUGACCACGCCAUCUUUUGUUUUGCCCACUAACUGCAGCCCAGGGGGCAGCGUUUCCCGAAGCUCUGAAGUGCCGCCCCAGGGAGGAAAGAGGGAGUAUAAACCUGAGUCCCGAAGGUGAAGGGAGGCGCCUGCAGCCGCGCACUCGUUUCAUAGAGGUUUCCUGCUGGUCUCGUCAAGGUAACGACUAGUCACGGACAGCAGUCCUCAUUGACGGAGUUUAGUGUUUUUCCAGAUAUGAGGAGAUGCAAGAAGUGGGCUCAUAAAAUCUUCCCCUGAAAAUGUCUGAGAUCUGAAGCCCAUUCUUCCGGUUGUCCCAGAGCCCAGGCGGCCUCGCUCCGGGUCUCCACCCCGAGCUCCGCUCCGCGCUGCUGCAGGUUGGCAGCUGCAGUGGCUGGUGUUCUACUCCGUGCAGAGGCUGAGGGCGAGGGCCAAACUUCAGCUCACAGAGCGGAUCAUAAAGAUUCGGUGUCUCAGGUGAAUGAUCUUGAAGUGGCACAUCUCAGAUUGAGACGCAGGCCCAGGUGCUGGGACUCGAACCCUCUGGCUGGGCUCAAGCCUGUAGAAAACCAGAGUGGGACUCGAACCCACCCUUUUUUUUCUGGUCUUUUUGCCUUUUCUAGGGCCACUCCCACGGCACAUGGAGGUUCCCAGGCUAGGGGGUGGCAAUGCUGGAUCCUUAACCCACUGAGCAAGGCCAGGGAUCGAGCCUGCAACCUCAUGGUUCCUAGUCGGAUACGCUAACCACUGCGCCACGACAGGAACUCCAACCCACCAUUUUUUUAUUAUUAUUUUUUAUUAAAAUCACACACCUGGCUCCAGGACUGACUGAAAGUUCAGGUCCUUUAUGUCUCCGUGCAGAAGAAAUUCAGCAAGAGGCAAAGGGAUAGGUAAGAAGCAGAUUUAUUGAGAGAUUGGUAAAGUGUGGCCCAUCCCAAAAGGCAAGUGAGUGGCCCUGGGAGAAACACACCCACAGAGAGUGGGCGUCUGGGGUGAGAGGCGAGAGCCCCGAAAUAUGGGGUGGUGGGUUUUCAUGGGCUGGGCAAUUUCAGAGGCUAAUGAGUGGGAGGAUAAUUCCAACUAUUUCUGGGGAGGGAUGGGGGUUCCUGGAAUUGGGCCCCUUUUUGGCCUUUUUUAUGUUGGGCCAGAAUCACCAGGACCCCUGUGGGUGUGUCAUUCAGCUCAGGUGUUACAGUGAGAGUAUAACCAGAGUUCCCCUGGACUCAAAUCACGCUACAUCUCGGACCUAGCUGGUUCUCCAGUUUUUGUCACAUCCUCAAGCACCGUGUCAUUCUUUUAGGCUUGUGCUUUGUCCCCUUCGGUCCCAUUUUAAUUUUAGCGCGUUUCUGUGUAAGGGAAGAUGCAAGAAUCCAGGGCCAUUGAAAGUCCUGAGACACGCAUCUGACUUACACAAGGGCCCCUUUACCCAAAGCACUGAAUGCCUCAUCCUGUUUUUUCCGUCCAGAGUGCCCCUCAGGGUGCCCUGUGGCAACAACCCUUGUGUAACUGGAUGAGGAGUGGCACUCUUUGUUCUUUUUGUGUUUAAAACUCCUACGUGCUGACCAGAACAUUCCAACCUGGCCAAGAUUUCUGGUGAAGUCAAAGCUGCCAUUACGUUAGUAUUAAAUCUAGGAUUCUUGUCAUGGACUUUAGCUCAGCCUGUGGUUUUCUCUUUAUAUCAACCAUCUCCUUAUACCCUCCAAGCUCUCACUAGCAGUGUCCUCACUCAAGACAUCUUUCGGUUUCUGCCCUUUGCUCCCAUCCUAGAAUCAAUGCCAACUUUUAGCGUUUCAUUAUGGUUGCAUUGAUGGUGUGAUAUUUCAAUUUAGAAUGGAAAGAUUGAGUGCAGUCUUAUUUCUAUAGGGCCAAUUGUGUGUGUGUGUGUGUGUGUGUGUGUGUGUGUGUGUGUGUUGGACUGUGGCUUUCCAGAAGCUUCUGCAAAGGCACUGGUGGGAGGAAGACCCAUUUGAUAAAAGGAAAGAAACCUAUUAAUAUCUAUUCAGCAAGAGUCGUUGAGUGACUUCCAUGUACUGGGCACUGUGGCAGGUGCUGGAACAUAAAGACAUUGUAUGAGAGAGACUAAUAUUGUGGGGGAACAGAGUUUGCCACCCCAAAAUAUAGCUCUUUGGCAUAUGAAUUAUGUAAGCUAUUGAAGUUAUUUUCUAAGAAACGGUGGAGAGGGGAAAAACUGUGAAAACCCAGUAGGAGUUACCCUUAUAUAAAAACAUCUACCUUUGUAAGGGAAAUCUCCUUUCUAAGGGGGCCUCCCUGGCUGUACCUGGAAGAAGAUGACCAAAUUUCUAACAACUCUUGGACCAGAGAAGGCAAGGAUUUAAAUCUGCACAUUAACCCUACCCUUGUUGACUGUGCUUUUCCUGGUCACCUCAGCAGCCUCUUCUUCAGCUGCGGAUGGUAUUUAAGAUGAGGGCUUUGGCCAUUUUGAUGGUCACUCAAGUUGUCUCGGGUCUCUCCCAUGUGUAUAGGUUACCAAACUUUUGUCUGGUUUUCUCCUGUUCAUCUGUAUCAUGUCAACGUAAAUCUUAGACCAGGCGGAAGAAUUUAGAAGCGCAGAAGACACGUCUUCUUCCCCGACACUACUACACAAAUAAGUAAGCACACAAUAAAAAUGUAGUUAUUAUCGCCUUAACUGUUGCAAAGGAAAAGCACAGGGUACCUCGGCUUUGUAACAGGCGGACCUUACCUAAACUGGAGGGGACGGAGGGGACGAGAAUGGCAUGGGCAAGGCCAGGGAAGCCCUGCCGAAAAGGCAACAUUCGAAUAGAGCCUUGAAGGCCAACCGGCGUUAGCCAGGCCCAACUGCACAGGGUGGAACCAUCCAGGUGGAAGAAACAAGAAAGAAACAAAGCAUCUGGACGUGAAGGGAGCUCUGAGGUCGUUCCGGGAAAGGAAGCGGACUGGAGAGGCAGGGGGAGGCGUGAGGGAAGAGGAAGGCGGACGCCCGACCGCGUGGUCUGGAGGUUCACAAAGAAUUCCAACAUCGCCUCCUGGUGAUGCUCGGCGGCCAGUGAGGCGUGAAGCAAAGCAGUGACAUGGACAUGCUUGUGUUUUAGAACCUCUUUCUGGGAAUUCCGACGUGGCUCAGUGGUAACAAAUCCGACUAGUAUCCAUGAGGACGUGAGUUCAAUCCCUGGCCUCGCUCAGUGGGCUGAGGAUCCGGCAUUGCCGUGACCUGUGGUGUAGGUUGCAGAUGUGGCUCAGAUCUGGCGUGGCUGUGGUUGUGGUGUAGGCAGGCAGCUGCAGCUCUGAUUCAACCCUUAGCCUGGGAACUUCCAUAUGCCGCAGGUGCGACCCUAAAAAUAAGUAAAUAAGUAAAAUAAAAUGUCUCUCUGGCUGCUGAGCAGAUAGUGGAUGGGAAGGUUUCAAGAGUGGAAACAGGCAAGGAAGGGGCACUUUGUACAGCCCAGGUGAGAGUGACAUGGCCUGGACUAGGACAGUGGCUGUGGGAAUGCAGCAGUGGGAAUGACUCUACCCAUGUUUCCGAAAUCAAGUUGCAGGCCUUGGUAAUGGACUGUGUGUGUGUGUGUGUGUGUGUGUGUGUGGUUGGGGGAGGGUCGUUGGAGAGAGAGGUGUGGAGGAUGAACCCAUAUUCCUGAUUGCAGCAGAAUGGAUAGGGGUUCUGUUUUCUGAGAUGUGGAACAAUGAAAGGGACGAUUUUGGGGACGAAACCAACCAAAGAUUUUGGGAUGAGUGACGUUUGAGAUGCCUGUGUGACAGCAAAGUCGAGGACAUAGCUGGGUCAUGUAGGUCAGGCUCAGAGUGCAGGUCUGAAUUAGGGGACAGAGCUAUAGGGCACAGCUAGAGAGGAAUGCAUGAUUCGGGGAGGGUUUUCUUUUUUUUUUUU